rnacentral:lncRNA from 1 species
UUGUCCACGAUUGGAGUCAACCACGUAGCACAAACCUUAGGAAAGAUCCUAAAGCCAACAUUUAUGGCGGUUAUCGGCCUAAAUUGCCUAAUGUGCAUUACCCCCACUACCUUGGGUACCAAUAGGAUCACUCCAAAGUUAAUCCAUGAUGAAUGAAGAAUAUCCACAUAGAACUUCCGAAACAUCCACAAAAACGUGCCCUUUAUCACACCCCAAAACUUCUUAGAAAAGCACAUCAAGAUCCCAUUUGGUGCUGAUGUCGGCGAUGAGUUCAUAGAGUUGACCGUCGCUUCAAUCUCCUCCAAAAACGUGAGAAGCAAAGAACCAUCAGGAAAGGUGUAUUCCCGGUUCCCGCCCUGCCGGUGGUAGCGUCGCUAGAGAUUGCACUCUUUGCCACGACCCAUCGUUGGAUUUGAGGCGCUGUCAUCAUUCAUGAGGGUCACCAUGUAAGAGAUGAGGGGUUUGGGGGAGGAACAUGGAUGAUGAAGCAAGCUAGUUGCCCGCCGCAAUACGCUCGAAGAGGCAGGAAACCCUAGAUCAAGGCGAAGGGAGGGAUCCUGAGCCAUAUAGGCGACUUAAGAGGGGCCAAAGAGUUGGCAAAGGAUGAAAGCCCGAUGCAUAGCAGAUCACCCUAGCCCUCCAAAGGCCGAACCGGCAGCUCCCUAUCCAAGGCUUGUUGGGCUUCCACCUGAGCCCAACAAGUGAGGUGGACGAAGGCCUAGUCCCUCCCAACUUGAUCCCCUUCGAUGCAUGGGCCCACCAAGAACCCUAAUCCUCAUGCUCCAUCCUUGACCUGGAUACCCAAUGACAUCGGUAAAACAAAUGAUUCGCUAGGGAGCAUACUGACAACCUCGAAGCACCAUCUCUUGCAGCAAAGGAGCCACAUCCAAGCUUAUCCGCAGCCCCCCAAUAGGACCAAUACUCCUCUUUACCCCCUGCCCCCAAAUGCCAAGUGUAUGUAAUAUCAUUGCGGUUGAGGUAGUGUUAUACUAGGAAAAAAUAUGAUAAUCCAGAAACCGCUUCUUGAGAGUGUGAUCGUACCAUGAAGAGUCUUCAAAAAGAAACAACUACAAAGAUGGCGCAUCAGAGGAAGACACCACAUCAAUAGAAGAUACAAGAGAAGAUGGGUUGUAAAAAGAAGAUGCAUGUCAAGGAAGCAUUUCGCACAAAAUCAUAGCCAAAGAAAACCGGCGGCAAGAGAAUGGGCGUAGAUCGACUAUGCAAAAAGAGGCCACGAAAAUCCUAUUAUGGAUAACAAAGACCGGAAAAGGCUACCAAAAUUGUAUAGACAGGACUAGGACCAAUAAAGAGUCUGACAUAUAUGGUUUGGUGGAUCUGCAUGGCAUGAGAAAUGCGAAAGAACAACGGAUUUGGUGAACGCAGGGAAAAGGAAAGCUAGAAGCUAGGAAGCAAAUGUGAGACAAUGAUGCAGGAGCCAUCGUGUUUGCAGCGAAGGCUGUGCAGGUGUAAUGCUGACAAGGAGCAGGGAAGAAGAGCAACAAGCAAAGGAGGACCCAACACCAAUAGAAGGUGCAGGUUUGAGAGGUGUGGAAGUUUUGGGGAGGCACAUUCUGUCAUUGCUUGACCAUUUGACUCCAAAGGCGUUGCCCAUGAUACCAGCUGAAGCUGAGGAUAUACUUUUCAGGAAGAGGAGCCUGUCGAAUAGAAGCACACUUGUCCCAAUACAAUAAUCAAUCAAAUGGUGUCAUCUACAAAUGUGAUUCCCAAUUUGAUCACGGUGGCUAGGCAUGACUUGUUUCAUCUUAAGAAUUAUCUACUUGUGUAAUUUGUUGUAACUUUAGUUGUUUGAUUUCAUUGAUUAUUUCAUGCCUUGUGCAGCCAAAGCUAAGAGAGCGAACAAGAUGUCUAUUCCUUGAAAUUACACAUAAUUUAUUUUCCUUCAUCAAGCGAAGGUUUCCGAGGCUGGCAAUUUAUUAGGAAA